rnacentral:lncRNA from 1 species
GAUUACAUAAAGAUGCAGAAUGCAAUAUUUAAAUUUAAUUAUUUUAGCAACCUUUUUUCAUUAAGUUUUAUAGGAAACAUAUAAUCGCUACAAGUGGAAUAUAAUUUGCCAGUAUUUCAUUGUACAGCUGGGGGUCUCCUCACUCUAGGACACUUAUUCUAGCACUACAAGGAAACUGUAGCAUUUUGCUACAUUUUCCAUUCAAAGAUCUGAGUCUUAAUUACAAGCACUUUAGUGAAAUAACCCCUUGUAGGGUUUAAUUCCAUUCUGAAAAGGCAAGAUGAGUGAUUUUUGCUGUCCUGCACCAACCUAAUGGUGUAUCACAGGAUGCUUCCUUUUAUUUGCAGCUUUGUCUUCAACCAGUCUUCCAUGACUACCUCUAGAUAUUUUCUUCUCAGAGGUCCUGUGUUGAGACUUCUUUAGAUUUUCAAUUUGUUGGUAUGUCUGUGGAAGCAAACCAUAGAGUGUCAAUUCACACUCUCAGGAGUUAACAGAGAGCUCUAAUUGCACAGCAGUAUAAGCAAUGUAUCUUGAAAAUUAUUGUUUUACUUUAUUAGAAGUGCAGUAGACAGGGCUUUUUAGAAUGGUCUCCUUAUAAUUAAAAUGCUGCAAAACCUGGAGGUUUUAGUGACAGUGACACCUGCUACUGCUUCUGUCCCUAGCCAGUACUGUUCAUGGUCCCUGGUUCCACAAUAGGAUCUAUGAAUGUUCAUAGGUACUACGUCACAGCUGGUAAUGUAGGUCAGAUGGAUCAUGUAAUCAGAAACACUUUUACUGUACCACUCUUUGUCAGUGGUCUCCAUGUUUGGAGAGUCAGUGGAGCUUAAAAUGCAUAUCCUUUUUCUUUGCCUUUUGUUGCAGGAGUCUAGUCCUCUUGAUUUGAUAGUGUGCCAUUUUGAAAAUGUUACUGUGCCUGUUCCUUAGCCUCACACAAAUUAUUUAUUAUUUAUAGUCUCAUAGGAAAUUUCCUCUGAAUUUUAACUACCAGUUGUUGUUUGUUUAUUAUAUAGGCAUUUAUUAAUCUGUCCCCAUUUGUUGUGGCAACUGCUUAAAAUAGAAGGGUUUUGCUCUGAUAGACAGAAAUAUAUUGUAAGAGAAAAAUACCGUAACUACUUUAAAAUGUCAAUUUCAACAGAAAAAUCAAAGGUUUGCUAAGCAGGAAAAGAGAAAAGUCCCCUGGGAAGAAAAAAAAAA